CAAGAUUUUAGCAACAUCAGCUCUAAUGAUCCUCAAGCCAAGAAAAUUCACAUUAUAUAACCCAUUACUGUUCUUACUAUACACUCCCUCUCAGAUCUCCUUAGUCAUCAUUCAUUUUUAUCCCUUUCCCCAACUGGAGUCCAAUUACUGCACGCACAACUCCUGGAUCCCCUAACUACCUUCCAGCAAGAUUCCUCACUAAACCCAGGCACUCUGCUCCCAACAAACCCCUCUGCUCCUAUAAUUUCUCAUUCUUGUUCAGACUUUCUGGACUUUUUGAUGAGUUCAUUUUCUCACAUAAUGGAUCAGCAAUUACCUUACUCCCUUGACUGGUUCAUACAUGGAAACUCCCAGAAACAUCCCCCUUAUCUUGCUGGUUAUGCUAUAAUUCAAGGAAAAAUUACAGCAGAUUCUUCUGUUCCUUACCCAGAUAUUAGAAUUAUCUCCCUUAUUCCCAGAGACCACCUCGCAGCAAGCUGAGUUAGUGGCCCUGUUGCAGGGACAGACAAGGCAAGGCACCGAAGAUAGCAGGAAACAGUUUUAAU
rnacentral:lncRNA from 1 species